AACGAACGCUGGCGGCGUGUUUAAGACAUGCAAGUCGCACGGGAUUGAUUGAGUAGUAAUACGAGAUCAGUCUAGUGGCGCACGGGUGAGUAACAUGUGAAUGACAUGCCCUUCAGUGGGGAAUAGCCCAGGGAAACUUGGAUUAAUACCCCAUGGUAUCGCGAGAUUAAAGGUGGCCGCAAGGCUGUCGCUGAAGGAUUGGUGCGCACCCUAUCAGCUUGUUGGCGGGGUAACGGCCCACCAAGGCUACGACGGGUACCUGGUCUGAGAGGACGAUCAGGCACACUGGAACGGAGACACGGUCCAGACACCUACGGGUGGCAGCAUUCGAGGGUAGUUCACAAUGGGGGCAACCCUGAUGGUGCAACGCCGCGUGGAGGAUGACGGUCUUCGGAUUGUAAACUCCUGUCAUCCGGGAGUAAGACCUGGCGAUGAAUAGUCGACAGGGUUGAUAGUACCGGAAGAGGAAGGGACGGCUAACUUCGUGCCAGCCGCCGCCGUAAUAC
rnacentral:rRNA from 1 species